CCAUUCGGGGUACACGAGUGGCGAACGGGUGAGUAACACGUGGGUGAUCUGCCCUGCACUUUGGGAUAAGCCUGGGAAACUGGGUCUAAUACCGAAUAUGACCGCGCAUCUCAUGGUGUGUGGUGGAAAGCUUUUGCGGUGUGGGAUGGGCCCGCGGCCUAUCAGCUUGUUGGUGGGGUAAUGGCCUACCAAGGCGACGACGGGUAGCCGGCCUGAGAGGGUGUCCGGCCACACUGGGACUGAGAUACGGCCCAGACUCCUACGGGAGGCAGCAGUGGGGAAUAUUGCACAAUGGGCGCAAGCCUGAUGCAGCGACGCCGCGUGAGGGAUGACGGCCUUCGGGUUGUAAACCUCUUUCAGCAGGGACGAAGCGCAAGUGACGGUACCUGUAGAAGAAGGACCGGCCAACUACGUGCCAGCAGCCGCGGUAAUACGUAGGGUCCGAGCGUUGUCCGGAAUUACUGGGCGUAAAGAGCUCGUAGGUGGUUUGUCGCGUUGUUCGUGAAAACUCACAGCUUAACUGUGGGCGUGCGGGCGAUACGGGCAGACUGGAGUACUGCAGGGGAGACUGGAAUUCCUGGUGUAGCGGUGGAAUGCGCAGAUAUCAGGAGGAACACCGGUGGCGAAGGCGGGUCUCUGGGCAGUAACUGACGCUGAGGAGCGAAAGCGUGGGGAGCGAACAGGAUUAGAUACCCUGGUAGUCCACGCCGUAAACGGUGGGUACUAGGUGUGGGUUUCCUUCCUUGGGAUCCGUGCCGUAGCUAACGCAUUAAGUACCCCGCCUGGGGAGUACGGCCGCAAGGCUAAAACUCAAAGAAAUUGACGGGGGCCCGCACAAGCGGCGGAGCAUGUGGAUUAAUUCGAUGCAACGCGAAGAACCUUACCUGGGUUUGACAUGCACAGGACGCCGGCAGAGAUGUCGGUUCCCUUGUGGCCUGUGUGCAGGUGGUGCAUGGCUGUCGUCAGCUCGUGUCGUGAGAUGUUGGGUUAAGUCCCGCAACGAGCGCAACCCUUGUCUCAUGUUGCCAGCACGUAAUGGUGGGGACUCGUGAGAGACUGCCGGGGUCAACUCGGAGGAAGGUGGGGAUGACGUCAAGUCAUCAUGCCCCUUAUGUCCAGGGCUUCACACAUGCUACAAUGGCCGGUACAAAGGGCUGCGAUGCCGUGAGGUGGAGCGAAUCCUUUCAAAGCCGGUCUCAGUUCGGAUCGGGGUCUGCAACUCGACCCCGUGAAGUCGGAGUCGCUAGUAAUCGCAGAUCAGCAACGCUGCGGUGAAUACGUUCCCGGGCCUUGUACACACCGCCCGUCACGUCAUGAAAGUCGGUAACACCCGAAGCCGGUGCCUAUCCCU
rnacentral:rRNA from 1 species